rnacentral:rRNA from 1 species
GACGAAGGUGGCGAGCGUUGUUCGGAAUCACUGGGCAUAAAGCGCACGUAGGCGGCGACGUAAGUUGGGUGUGAAAUCCCUCGGCCCAACCGAGGAACUGCGCCCAGUACUGCGUUGCUUGAGGAUCCAAGGGGUGCAUGGAAUUCCCGGUGGAGCGGUGAAAUGCGUUGAUAUCGGGAGGAACUCCGGCGGCGAAAGCGGUGCACUGGUGGAUUACUGACGCUGAGGGGCGAAAGCCAGGGGAGCAAACGGG